rnacentral:rRNA from 1 species
UGACACAUGUUAAACGGCCGCGGUACCCUGACCGUGCAAAGGUAGCAUAAUCACUUGUUYUYUAAAUAGGGACUUGUAUGAAUGGCCACACGAGGGUUUAACUGUYUCUUACUUUUAAUCAGUGAAAUUGACCUAUCCGUGAAGAGGCGGAUAUACACUAAUAAGACGAGAAGACCCUAUGGAGCUUCAAUUUAAUAGCACAGACCAACACCUUAAAAACCCACAGGCAUUAAAACACUGUCCAUGCGCUAUAAAUUUCGGUUGGGGCGACCUCGGAGUACAACAUAACCCCCGAGAUACAAGUGUACCAAGACCUUACCAGUCUAAGUAAACCAAUAUCUAUUGACCCAAUAAUUUGAUCAACGGACCAAGUUACCCUAGGGAUAACAGCGCAAUCCUAUUAUAGAGUCCAUAUCGACAAUAGGGUUUACGACCUCGAUGUUGGAUCAAGACAUCCUAGUGGUGUAGCCGCUACUAAGGGU